rnacentral:rRNA from 1 species
GACGAACGCUGGCGGCGUGCCUAAUACAUGCAAGUCGAGCGGACUGAAUGGGAGCUUGCUCUUGUUCGGUCAGCGGCGGACGGGUGAGUAACACGUGGGCAACCUGCCCGCAAGACCGGGAUAACUCCGGGAAACCGGAGCUAAUACCGGAUAACACCGAAGACCGCAUGGUCUUUGGUUGAAAGGCGGCGCAAGCUGCCACUUGCGGAUGGGCCCGCGGCGCAUUAGCUAGUUGGUGAGGUAACGGCUCACCAAGGCGACGAUGCGUAGCCGGCCUGCGAGGGUGCCCGGCCACACUGGGACUGAGACACGGCCCAGACUCCUACGGGAGGCAGCAGUAGGGAAUCUUCCGCAAUGGGCGAAAGCCUGACGGAGCGACGCCGCGGGAGCGAAGAAGGCCUUCGGGUCGUAAAGCUCUGUUGUGAGGGACGAAGGAGCGCCGUUUGAAGAAGGCGGCGCGGUGACGGUACCUCACGAGGAAGCCCCGGCUAACUACGUG